AAAGUUCCAUAUUUUUAUAUUAAAGUUGGAACAAUACAGAAAAUAUUAGCAUAGUUCCUCUGCAAGAAUGACAUGCAAAUUUGUGAAUCAUUCCAUACUUUU
ensembl:snRNA U6 U6 spliceosomal RNA